rnacentral:pre_miRNA from 1 species
AUAAGCAUCACUUGGUGAUUUUGUUAAAAUGCAGAUUCUAAUUCUAGUUUGAAGUAAUGUGAGUUUCUGCCUUUCUAACAAGAUCCCAGGUGAUGCCUCU